AGAAAAUUAUAUUGGGAAGUUGUCAUUUCUACAGUAAAACAGCUUUUUUUUCAAGUAGUACGAAUUGUGACUUCGAUUUAUCUGUGGAACUAUUUGAACAGAAGGUAAAGCAGUAAUUUUGUUGUAUUUAGAAAGCAAACAGGGUCAUAUUUUUAAAAAUAUAGCGCACUGAAUAUAAAUUUGAGCAUCAUUAAAAUGUGUUCGCUAUGAUGCCAUUUUGUCUCCGGUAUUUACGGAGUUCUGCUUUUAUACUUGUGGAUAUUCGAAUUUAUUUGGCUCAAAAACACCAUUACUUCAAUAUCCCUUUCUUGUUUUUCCUUGGAUAGGUUUUAACAAGAUAGAACUCUAGAUCCCUUGGGUCCAAAGACGCUAGAUUAUAAAAUCCUGAUGUGACUAAUUGAUACUACAAAUAGAAUAUGUCUUAUGAUUUAAUACUACAAAUAAAAUGUCUUUUAAGUACAAACUUCAAUGAAUUGAUAAAGUGUAAGGAUAGUGUUUAAAGUCGCUUCCUGUGUAGAAGCUGAAUUACUUUAGUUUAUACACUGUAUAUUGUCGAGAUCACAUGUUGAUAUGACUUAAUACCAGCAAUUUGCAAUAAGUGGUCUGUUCUGCUUGUUUAUAAUACUUUAGAGUUUGGACAUUAGAACAUUGUAAUUGCCUGACAGAGACUGUUAGGGCCUGUUUGUAUGGAAGCCGGGCUGGCCCGCUUAGGAAGACAGCCCGGUAAGGUAGGUAAGCAGGAUGAUUUCUCUUGUGUUUAUUUGAGAAAAUUUCAUUCCGCUUACCGGGACAAUUUUGUUGUUUUGACAUUAUUUUGACAGUUGUUAAAAAUAGCUUGCGGCAGUAUCUUUGAACUUUCAUCCCGGCAACCGGGCUAGCCUGCUUAUGAAUGUUUAUGUGGAGAAAUUUCCAUCCUGGUCUUGGCAACCGGGCCUGCCCGCUUGUCCAUAGAAAUGAUAAUUUGUACUAUAAAAAUAACUAGACAGCGAGAUCUCACUUACUGGGCUGUCUCACUUAGCGGGCCAGCCAGUUUCGAUAUAAACAGGCCCUUACACAACUGCUAAAAGCUGCAAGUUUCUUUAAAGCAACAUCAUCUAUAUCACAGAAUACAGUUUCUGUAGUGACAUACUUGUCUUUAAUGUGUCCUAUGUUUGUAAUAUUUUUGUACAAUACCUUUUUGAAAUUGUUGAUACUGGUCUCAUUGUAACUCAGUAGUCUCAGUUAUUCCUUCUCAAGAAAAAUAAAAAAACAAAGCUGUGUGGGUGUGUUUUUGCUCUAGCUAGUUUUUACAUUUACAUGGUUCAUGUACAAUUAAUGUACAUUUAAAUUAGCUUUGUUCAAUGAAUACAGGUGUGAUUCAAAUAUCAUUCCUGUCAGGUACUUGGGUCAAAUAGACAUAAGCAUACUAAAUCAUGCUGUGAAUUGAAAUACAAGUUUAGGGUGUAUAUUGUUUAAUAAAUAUAUUUUCCAGUUAACCCAGUAAGAUGCAUUGUGCUCCAAUGCGCCCUACUUUACUAGUUUAUUUCACUUCAUCUAAUGCCAGAUGAUUUUACUUAUCGAGGGAGAGUGCUGCUGCUCAUUGAGCUCUGAUUGAGUUCACUGAGUGGCAGCACUUUCCCCUUGACGAGUGAAAUUGUCUGGCAUUAGACAGAGUAAAAUAAUCUUGCGUUCAAUCAAUCAGCUACU
rnacentral:lncRNA from 1 species